rnacentral:rRNA from 1 species
CCGUGUCUAUCGUACCUUGUUGCUUCGGCGGGCCCGCCGUUUCGACGGCCGCCGGGGAGGCCUUGCGCCCCCGGGCCCGCGCCCGCCGAAGACCCCAACAUGAACGCUGUUCUGAAAGUAUGCAGUCUGAGUUGAUUAUCGUAAUCAGUUAAAACUUUCAACAACGGAUCUCUUGGUUCCGGCAUCGAUGAAGAACGCAGCGAAAUGCGAUAAGUAAUGUGAAUUGCAGAAUUCAGUGAAUCAUCGAGUCUUUGAACGCACAUUGCGCCCCCUGGUAUUCCGGGGGGCAUGCCUGUCCGAGCGUCAUUGCUGCCCUCAAGCACGGCUUGUGUGUUGGGCCCCCGUCCCCCUCUCCCGGGGGACGGGCCCGAAAGGCAGCGGCGGCACCGCGUCCGGUCCUCGAGCGUAUGGGGCUUUGUCACCUGCUCUGUAGGCCCGGCCGGCGCCAGCCGACACCCAACUUUAUUUUUCUAAGGUUGACCUCGGAUCAGGUAGGGAUACCCGCUGAACUUAAGCAUAUCAAU